UUUGACAGUCAAGAUGUAGUAAAUUUCGGUUGGGUUGACAAUAGUAAAAAUUGCUGUUUAAAUGGGCCACGCUCUAAAAGGAAACGCAUUAAAAUAGUACACCCUGGAAGCAAAGACAGUUCCUUGCCUAAUGCUUCAUUAAUAUCUGCUAAGAAAAUUAAAAACUGUGCAGCUGAUUAUCAUGAAGAUAUGACAGCAGUUUAAACCAAACGCCCCUACAGGCAGCCACGUACAAAUCUUUCCAUGGGACAAAUUUUUACUCGGUUGUAAACGAGAAGAAUCCCGAUUGAACUGAUGAGAGUAAAGUCGUUGAAACUUUUGAAUUUCCAAUAAUAAACUAAAAUUGAUUUAUUUGGAAUUUUACUAAACGAUUUAGCUUGAUAUAGAGACACCUUUCAAUGAAAAUGGCGUGAAAAAUGUUUCAAUGAAAGUAAUUAUUUAUUAAAAACAUCGAUUUUGUUGGAUUUUAUUGUACAAUUUAGUAAAACGUUGUCUCAGUAUUUUUAAUAAACAUUUUAUUAAGAAAAGUUAUUAAAAAUUACU